GGGCGGACGGAGAUCCGGGUCCUGACUGCAGCUUCCUCCCCGUGGAGCCGCAUUUCCAGGCACCUCCGCAGCCCUAGCCCCAGCGCGCCGAGCCGUUCCCGGCCGUGCCGCCUGGAGGCGCGGAGCCCGCCGGGCUCGCCCAGCCCUGCAGCUCCGGCCGGGGCGGAGGCCGCCGGACCGCGGAGAUGCGGGGCGGGGGCAGGGCGCGGGGUAGGUGACUUUAUCCCGCCUCUGUUUCCCUGCCCCGGGGAGCAAUGACAUCACGCGGCCUUCUCCAGGCGCCGACACAAAGAGCGGCGCGGAGAGGCCGCUGCGGGGGGACCCGGCGGCCGCCGCUGCCGCCCCGGGCCCUGGGGCCCCGCCGGCCAGGCCCGCCGCCCGCGGCCCGCGCCCUUCCUGCUCCUCCUCCGCCGCCGCCGCCUCGGUCGCCGCCGCCCGCGCCGCCCGCGCCCCCAGCGCGCCGCUGAGCCCGCGCCGGGCCGCUCCGGCCCCAUUCCCAUGCGGGCGGCGCGGGCCCUGGGAGGGGCGCCCGCAGCCAGCCGCGCAGCAUGCACUGGGGGGUUGGCUUUGCCUCGUCCAGGCCGUGCGUGGUGGAUCUGAGCUGGAACCAGAGCGUCUCCUUCUUCGGCUGGUGGGCCGGGUCCGAGGAGCCCUUCUCCUUUUAUGGGGACAUCAUCGCUUUCCCUUUGCAGGAUUACGGUGGGAUCAUGGCAGGGCUGGGCUCCGAUCCCUGGUGGAAGAAAACACUUUACUUGACCGGGGGAGCUUUGCUGGCCGCAGCUGCGUAUCUGCUCCACGAACUCCUGGUCAUUAGGAAACAGCAAGAGAUUGACUCCAAAGAUGCUAUUAUUUUGCAUCAGUUUGCAAGACCUAACAAUGGUGUCCCCAGUUUGUCUCCUUUCUGUUUGAAAAUGGAAACUUACUUAAGGAUGGCUGACUUACCCUACCAGAAUUAUUUUGGUGGAAAACUUUCUGCUCAAGGGAAAAUGCCUUGGAUUGAAUAUAAUCAUGAAAAAGUUUCUGGCACAGAAUUCAUAAUUGACUUUCUGGAAGAGAAACUUGGAGUGAAUUUAAACAAAAACCUUGGCCCUCACGAAAGAGCCAUCUCCAGAGCAGUGACCAAGAUGGUGGAGGAGCACUUCUACUGGACGUUAGCUUAUUGCCAGUGGGUGGACAAUCUCAAUGAGACCCGGAAGAUGCUCUCUCUUAGUGGUGGCGGUCCCUUCAGUAACCUGCUGAGGUGGGUCGUGUGCCACAUAACGAAAGGAAUUGUGAAGCGCGAGAUGCACGGCCACGGCAUUGGCCGCUUCUCAGAGGAAGAGAUUUACAUGCUGAUGGAGAAGGACAUGCGGUCCUUGGCAGGGCUUUUGGGUGAUAAGAAGUACAUCAUGGGCCCCAAGCUUUCUACUCUCGACGCCACUGUCUUUGGACACUUGGCACAGGCAAUGUGGACCUUACCUGGGACAAGACCUGAACGGCUGAUCAAAGGUGAGCUGAUCAACCUUGCCAUGUACUGUGAGAGGAUAAGGAGGAAAUUCUGGCCCGAGUGGCAUCACGAUGAUGACAACACCAUCUAUGAAUCUGAGGAGAGCAGCGAAGGAAGCAAAACCCACACACCCCUGCUGGAUUUCAGCUUUUACUCAAGGACAGAGACCUUUGAAGAUGAGGGAGCAGAGAACAGUUUUUCCAGAACCCCAGAUACAGAUUUCACUGGACACUCGCUCUUUGAUUCUGACGUGGACAUGGAUGACUACACAGACCACGAACAGUGCAAGUGAUGUUCAGCCUCGCUGACCCUCUUCUGCCACACCCUGGGGUUGGUCCAAUUUCCCAGGUAGAAAUCCAUCUCAGCUGGGAGGAAAUCUUCGUGCUUGGCACACUUCUCACAAGCUAACUGGACUCUAGCAGCCUUAUUUCCUUUUGUACAAACAAAACACAGAACCAUUCAGAUGGCUCCAUUUAAAACAAACAGGCAAAAAAAAAAAAAAUGUCAGCAUGGUUCCUGAAAUCCAUUUUUGUUUUCAUUAGAAAACUAACAUUGUGUGGUAGAGCCCAUGCAAGAACAGGUUGUCUGUGGAUCGUGUUUAUGUAGAUCCUCUUCAACCCGAGGGCUUAGUUGUGAGACGGAUUCUCAAGCAUCCUUCAUCCACGUGGGUUCGAAGUAAUGAGCGAAGUCAUCAGGAGAAAUGUAGGAGACAAAUGUUCUAUGGUGACUGCUUGUAUUUUAUGUGUGUAUAUUGUAUGUUGAGAUAAUUCAAAUAAAAUCCAUAGAUAUUCAGUGAACACCUACUAUGUGCAAAGCACUGUGCUAGGUGCUAAUCAGUAUAAGUUUUCUUCUCAGUCCUGCCAGUGACUAGCUGUGUGAUUUUGGGCAAGUCCCUUAAUUCUUGUGUGCCUCAUUUCCCCCACCUGUAAGGUGGGGCUAACAAUACUCUCCACCUACCUACCUCACAGGGGUGUUGUGAGGAUUCAUGUGGUAACAUUCGGCGCUUUAAACCUCUUGGAAGAGCUAUGACAUAAACACAACAUUUUAGUCUUGAUUGUGCUUCCGAUGUAUGAAGAAGAUUCGAGGGCAAAGGAAUUCCAUAUCCAGCCAACAACAGCCACAGUCACUUGCAAAAGCCCAGCAGACGAAACACAUGCAAAGGCACAGCUAAGACUCUGUCCUCGUUCUUCCCUGUGAUCUUGCUUGAAUUGAAAUCUUUUGUUGAAAGAACCUUGAACAUAUUUUUACAGAUCAUCAACAGUUCCAAACAGUCUUCAAUGCUGUGUAUCUGCAGAAGUCUUUCUUUCGUUGCCUGAACGCACACUGGAAUGUUGUCCUUUGUUGACUCCCGAGGGUUAAGUUGCCUCUGUGUGGUUUAUCUGAAGGGAGUAAAGCUCAGAAAUAUGAUGGGUUUCAUAGAGGUGAAGGGGAAAGGAUUUGACUGCUUUUUCUAAGCAGAUGCUUGCCAGCUUGUAAUGUCUUUUUGAAAACAAACCUUGCAAGAUGUAUUGAAAAGAUGAAGUAUGAAGAGGAUCAUGUUACUGGUAUCAAAGCACUUUGUGCAGUGUAGACUCUAUGCAGUUUUACUAAUGCAACUUUUCUGGCGUUCUCAGGCAUUGUCCCGUAAAAGGAAGGCAAUGCUGAGGACAAAUCUUAAUGUUUCUUAAGGAUCUCCCAUAGCCUCCCUGGGCUCCCUCUCCUUCCCCGUAGAGCACAUGGACCCUUGCGGUUACUGUAUUUACUAAGGCACUCUGUCUCUGAAGACAUCAUUUUUGUUGACUUAGAACAUUUUCCAGUGAAAUAUGGGAUGAAGAUGCUGGGGUGAGGGCCAUGCAUUUGGGCUAGGAGAGUCAGUGUUAAGAUUUACAACUGCAAGCAGAACUGCUGUACUCCUGAUCACCACAGACUCGCUGGGUAAUGGCUAUUCAUUGUGGGGCUUGAGAGGCACUGCUUUAAAGACCGCAACGUGUGCUGAGAAGUUCAUGUACUAUGCUUGAAAAAGACUCUCUUUGCAUAUGGCCUUUGCAAAAACAAUCCUAAAAUGCUGUGGAUUCAACAAAGAGGUAAAGGGGGAGAGUUGCUGAGGCUAUUUACCAUUGAAGCAACCAUGUAGGACAUAUGUAACUGGGAGGAAAUGCGGAGUUGCCCUGAGUUAGAAAUUCUUACUGCACAGGAAACCCAGUUGUUAGUAGCUUAUUAAAACCAUUCAUCUUUGAGAGGACUGUUUGGUGCCUCAUGAAAAUGUGGUGGAGAAGAUAGGAAUGGAUGAGCGUGUUUUAUCUCCAGGGUCACUUGGGAGGACUGUUCACCUCUUUUGUUUCUAACAAACAAGCAUGUUCCAAGGUCAGCUGGUGGUAGUUCUGUGUGACUAGGGAAACUUUGGGCUUGAAAAUUUCAAUACAAUAAACGGAUGGGCUGUAGACCUAGCCGCACAAAGACCGAGUUGCCCUGUCCCUACCCUUAGCUGGAAAGAGUUGUGUUUGAAAUUUUGCCUACAAUUUAUUCUUACUAUAUAGCACCAGGUGUGUUGUAUCUUUACUUCAGGAAUGAUUAAGUUAUGACUGUGUAGAGCCCCAUAUUUUUUAUCGUGCAUUGCUUGGAGGACGAGUACAUGGAGAGCCAGUGUUCAUUAUAAAGUAAGUGAUUCUAUCCAGGUACCUCUCACAGGGCUUGAAUGGACAUUACCACUUGGAGUCUUGGGUACUAGCCUGACAGCUCAUGACUGGGUAGCCAACAUUUUGUAGGUGUAACUUGAUUUGGAACCCUGGAAUAAUAUCCCCAGGUUUUACCUUUCCAACGUGGGUUAUGGAAACAAAAUGACCAAGACAGAAUUGGUAUGGUGUGGAUGACCUGGGUAGUCUUUAUUGGGUGGGCUUUAAUUUUAUCUUUUUAAAUUUUAAUUUUAUCUUUCAUUCUUAAGCUCUCCAGAUUUGAAGUAUUCUCCAGUAUGCUGAACAGGUGCUACUUAUAAGAAAAAAUAACAAGAAAUUAGGGGACAUUUUGGUUAUCUGGCUUACUUGUUCAAGUUGUGUUUCUUUUUUACUGGAAAGUAACUUAAGGAAAGUGUGAUCUUUAAUGUUAACAGAUGUUUUUGGUUGGGCAGAAGACCCGCUAGCCACCUGUUCUUUUUUUUACCUGUCAUUGUAAAAAUAAAUUCUGCCCCUCCAUCCCUCUCCCUUUGCCCCUCAUCCCCACUCAUCAGAAUUGAGGAACAGCCACGGUAUGAUUUAAUCUGCAUAUGGCAGAGUAGAUAUAAGGGCAGUAUAAGUUUAUAGCAUUUUGUUGUUGUAACAUAAUGAAUUGUGAACAGUGAUGCUCCCGCGGCCAUGAGCUACCCAGGUGACUGAUCAUAGACUUAGAACAACUUGGACUCGAAUCACAACUACAGUCUGGCUCUCCAGUGAGCCCUGCCUGUGUGUACUGUGGUAUUUGGUAUUAGGAUAUGUUUUCCUGAAAUAGAGUUCAAGGAAAGGAAGAGCUAGGGAUUUUAGCUUCCUGGGUCUUGCCUAGAUUAUCUGAGAGAAAGUGUAGAAUCAUAGCAAUGUAUAGCUGGGCCAUGGGUUAGUUGUAGAAAGCUCCUUACAAGAGAGCCUCUGAGGUUGUUACUGGCUCCGUGUCAUAUGCACAUUCAUUUGCAGGGCAGGACCCGGACUGAAGUCUUUCACCUUGCCUUAGAUGGUUCUUGCUAUUACACCACUUUGACUUGGUUUCCUUUUCCACGUCCCCUGAGAAAUCACUCCGCACUCAUGGAACCAGCAUGUCCCCAGCCUCUCUCGAAGAGUGCUUGGAGUCUUCCACUCUUGUCCUCCAUGUCUGUUCAGCCGGGUCCAGAUCAGUUCAAGAGAUCUUUCGUUAGGAUUUACUCUGUGCAAGGCACUGCUAGGCUCUAUGAAUGAUACCAAGUCACCAAGACUCCUUAUUCUUUGUUACUUAUCUUUUAAGAAUCCAUUCCCAUAUGCUCACUCAUUGCAUAUUUACUGAGCACCUACCCUGUGCCUGGCCCUGGGACCCACACUGGAUAUAGAGUGGUGAACAGAACAGACAUGGCACCCUAAUUUUAGGGCAUCCUCUUUUGCUUAGACUACUGUGAUAGCCUCUUUUAAAUGCUUAGUCAUUUCCCUGAUCUAUUCCACCCAUCACCAUUAAUUUUUUUAAAAAGCUCUGGCCCUGAGGGCAUGCCAUAUUGCCUCAGGGUGAGGGCCACUCCCUGGGGCCUGGUAUUCUCACCUCUUCCUUCAUCUCAUUUCCUGGGGUGUCUGCCAGGGCUCCUCCAUGUGAGCCAUCCAGUGCAUCCAGGUUGGUCUGCUUGCCGUUGCCUAAACAUGCCUCAUGUCCCCACUCCGCCUCUGCUUAUGCUAGCCUCUCUCCUGAAAUGCCUGCCCUUCCCGUCCACUGGCCCAACGCAUGCCCACCUCUCAAGGCCCAGCUUCAUGAGUUCUGCAAGAAGACUUCCCAGCUCAUUAUAGUCUCCCCUUCCUCUGGAAACACAGCACUCAUCAUUUCCUUCCCUGAUGGCUGCACGGGAAAGGGUGAAGUUAUUUUUAUUGCUCCUGACCACGAUCCAAGAUCCUUUGCUCUCCUUUACGUGCAGUGCUGUUUAAGUUGAACAAGAAUCGAUGAAAGUACAUUUGAUGACAAAUACUUCUAAGUCUGAAUGCUGAACUCUGGCAACCCAUCUUUAAUAGGUCCAGCCAUCAAUUAUGUAUGAUUGUGGAGUGCUUGACCUUUAUUCAGUUGCUUCCAGUGGACUGGGUGAAACUUGGCGAAGUUUGAAAGGAUCCCCUUGGUGGGUGGGGCAGGAGGUCCCACUUGCCUGGAGCGCUCUUGCUAGUGCCAGGAGUAAAUGCAAACACAUCAUGAAUGUUUUCUUCAUUUGAAUUCCUUACCAGAAACCUGGGUUUUUAGUCCCUGACUUCAAAGAAUAUCUGAAAGAUAGUUAAGGUUCCUUAACCUUCAGGAUAAGAUAACUGGAAUGAGUAACAUGUUGGCCUUUGUCUUUACAGAUGGUUACAGAGGAAACUGAAAAAUAGCUUAAAGGAAAGUGACUCAGCUCUCUUGGGGCUGACACUGUGACCCCCUCAAGCAUUCUUGCUCUUGCCAAGGCAGGGGACUUGUCCCCAGAACAAGGCUCUCUGAAACUUCCGUUGCUGGCUAGAUUAUGACAAAGUGGGAUGCUCAAAUUUCAAGAAGAUUAUUGUCCUAAAUUGUAAAACUUGUAGAUAAAUAGAGGGGCCCAUUGCAAUAAUAAACUAACUUAUGAAUGUGGUCUAGCCAGCACCAACACUGUGAUCAUUUUUUUUUUUUUUAAAGAUUUUAUUUAUUUAUUUGACAGAGAGAGAGACAGCAAGAGAGGGAACACAAGCAGGGGGAGUGGGAGCGGGAGAAGCAGGCUUCCCGCGGAGCAGGGAGCCCGAUGCGGGGCUCGAUCCCAGGACCCUGGGAUCAUGACCUGAGCCGAAGGCAGACGCUUAACGACUGAGCCACCCAGGCGCCCCCACUGUGAUCAUUUUAAUGGGAGAGACAAGUUACCUAGAAUAAAAGAUUGGUAGAGACUUUAGUGUUCUUACAUAAUUAAAUAAUGUCAGCAAUGAACGUGAUGGCCUUCUUGGAUUUUUAAAAAUUGUUGUUGUCUCUAAUUGCAGCUUUAAAUAUUUUGAAACAAUCCACCAAUUGUAGAACAAUAUAUAUUUAUGAUAAUGGCUAAUUUUAUAAAAAGUAGUAUUACUAAGUAUGACUAAUUCACCUCCCCCCGUAGCAAGCAUCUUUUUUUUUUACUUUAUGGUCGGAAUAGAGUAACUCAUUUAUCAAUGAUAGUUAAACCUUUUCCUUUCUUUAGUGUUUUUAAAAAUUACCUAUGGCUUUAAAAACAAUAGGAUUUAGCUCCUGAAUUGCCAUGUUAAUUAGCUGUGUCUAAACAGAUAGCAGAGAGAAUACAAUUGUUCAGUGGAGGGCUAGGAAAGAGAAAUCCUUUGGAUAUUUACCCUCCUCUUAAAAAGCAAAACAAAACAGAACAGCAAUCUGUGGACUUUUCCCUUUAACAGUUCAGAAUUGGAAGUGUUGUGUCCUAUUUGCUUCUGUCUCUCGAUGAGAGAUCCCAUUUGGCUUAUUCAAACACAAACCAUGUCCAAAUGAUUGUAUUUUUACUUUAAACAAAUUGUAUCUGACUUCUCUUGCAGCAAUAAGAUUAAAAACAGUGCUCAAAUUUUUGAGACAUCUCUGCUUCAGUAGGGGCGACAUGUUUGUGUUCCUCCUGUCAAAAUGAUUACCUCAAGUAAUGCAUCUCACGGGAUCAUGCUUAUCGUAAACAUGUGUUUUCCCCAGAGAUGUGCAUCAUGCAGAGCGUCUGACAACUCACACGGUGGUGAUGGUCGGGAAGAUGAGGGUCUGAAUCCUUCAUCGGGUGGUGUUAGGAUUUCGUGGAGUGGGAGGUGACAGAUGCGACGGCUUCAGGCAGCCAUGUGGUAUGGCUGUGCUAGAAUGUGUCAGGCACAUCAGAAGUUGUCUCAGUGGUGGCUUUAGUAUCACAGUACAGCAUCCAGGCUCAUCAGUCAAAAACACAUGCAAUCUGUGGGGCAGGGUUGUUUGUGGAUAUACAAGACCAGUGCAGGAAGUGCUAAAGUUACGUUGAUCUUUGUCUUCAUUUAUAUGCUCAAGCUCCGGGACUGUCCUACCUGAAGCCAAGCCUGGGAAGUAGGGGAGCAGCUGAGAGCGGAGCACUGGCUGCCACCCCAUUCCUUUGACUCUGGAGCUUCCUUCUAGUUUCUCAAAAGGGUUUGUGGCGUCUGGUUUCCGUUUUAUAAAUAUAAAAUGUACAAAGGAAUGUAUAUUUGUUUUAUAGAUGUCUUUUAAAGGGAGACACCCCAAAUGAUCCGUAUGGAGGUAGCGUCUCCAAACCUUUCUGCUCAUUUACCCCCCGGUAAAACUUUCUGAGCUUGCCCUUUAGUAUAUUUAUUUGUAAACACACACACACACAGACACACUGCACACACUGCUGCACUGAUAUGUACAUUAAAAACCAUGGCAAACAGAAUUUUUCAAAGACUAUUCUUCUGUACUCAGUAGAGUUUAGGGAACGGGGCAAGGUGUAUUUAAGGGUAGCGCCUAGAAGGCUGCAAUCGAUGAAAGAAUGUCUAUGUAACAUUUGUGGCAAAGUGGCUGUAAAAUAGGCAUGGGCGCAUGAUCGCAGGUCAAGGAAUGUAUGUAUGUGUGUAUUUACUUUUACUUAAAACGGGCAUUUUUGGCUGGGGAAGAGAAUAGUGAAGAAAGAGAUGUCCCCUUUACACGAGCUAUUUUUCAUUCUGUUUUUUGGGACCACUUGAUCUAGAAUGUUUUGGAAAUUUCUGAAAGAUUUCACAGUCCAUGGAUUUAAGCAAAAUAAGAAAACAUAGGAGGGGGAGAAACAAAUAAUGCAAAGACGGGAUGCAUUGCUUGAGAAUUUCAGUACCGAUCUGAAAAGCAUGUUCCGAUAAUUCCUGGUACCCACCAUCUCACUGAUUAUAUAUCUCUCUUCUAUUUCUUUAUAACCCCAUGUCUCCAAAUGUGUGGAAGAUGCACAGAUUCAUUUUCAGAUAUCUGAGGUAGGAAGGACCGAUGUUGGUAUCAUUCAAACCCACAUUUCAGCUGCUUGGGGGCUGAUGGGUGGACACGGCCUGGAAGUAUUUACCUACACCAUCUGUUUUGCAAACACAACGAAUAGCAUCUUGCUGAACAAGGGCCUCAAUGUGGAGGUGGCAUUCCAGUGUUUAUUUCUGGACCUAUGAGUUACUUUAGCACAGUUAUUGUUAGUAGUUUAUAAAGCCAUAUUUAAACUUGUACACUUGAUUGUAAGAUAGAUUUGAAUUGUGCACUAUGUUGAUUACUGUAUAUAAAUGUGGAAAUUCUGUACAUUUGGUCUCAAUGCUGUAUGUAUUUGAUGUGUAAAUGAUAACUAGCGGUUAUGAAA